rnacentral:lncRNA from 1 species
GACGCACAGAACUGAUGUUUCUCUCAGCAGGACCAUUCCAUCACCGGCUGCGACGUGAUAAACGAAGAGCAAAGAUAAACAGAAAGCGCGCGCGCUGCUCUGACAGGAUGAAUGAAGCUGCAACGUGUCCAAUCGGGAGCUGAAAACAAGAUGUAUCUUCAUUAAAUCUGUAGUAUGUCAAAACACUGGGACAAAAUGGGAAUAAACAUCAAUGAAUAGUGAUUUGAGAAUGUAGGUCACUCGCUCUCUGUCGCUUUCCAUCUCUCUGUAUUGUCCUCUGAAUUAUACAAUUCUUUGCUUCUUUCUCCCGUUUGACCCUCAUAGGACAGAACACACAGCCCUCAGAUCUCCGGAGGAAAUGACAGGAGUUGAAUACUGAAUUAAUCUCCAGAGUCAAGUUACUAAUGAAUAGACAGAUGAUAAAAUGUAAAUGAUAUAAAAGGACUCUAUGUGCUACAAAUAAAAGUCUGGCCUUCUUGAUUUUAUCGUGUUUACAUGGCUGGCGUACAUGGUCACAUGAUUACAGUUGGAUAUAUCCAGUAUGCCCCUCUGCAAAAUGAUGCCAAUGUCAAAGCUGAAAAAGAAGCAUGUGACCAGUGAGAAUACAAAGAGCUACAUUUUUUUUUUAAAUAUAAAACGGAUUAUUCCAUUAUAAAAUUGCAGAUUUCAAGGAAUUGUUAUUACACAGUAAGAUAAAGGGGGGGGGGGGGGGUGAUUUGUUACUAUUUUAUGGGUUUUUUUACUCUAAAAAAAUUGCCUGCUGGUAAAAACAAAAUAUUACAAUCAUGUUUUGUCUCUGUAAUUUCCCAUCGGUUAAAACUGUGACCAAGAAUAAACCGCAUACUUUCACCAACAUCUUUAAAUCUCUGUAGGCAUAAAGUUUAUUGCAUAAAAUUCAUGUGCUCACAUAGCAGGUUAACUAAAACGGUUAAAAAUGGUUUUCGCCGAAAUGAAAUAAGUGGAAAUAAAAUAUUUACAAAUAUAUAAUGAAUAAAUAUAGACAUUAGAUGAAGUAUUUUAAUGUAAAUGAAAAUUAGAAAUGUUGCUUUGGCAAGUGCUGAAAAUACAGUAGGGCCCUACGUCUGAACUGAAGUACUCAAAUUACUUAAACUAUAGAAAUUUAAA